rnacentral:tmRNA from 1 species
GGGGGUGACAGGUUUCGACACCGGUUGCCGUAAGAAGUGAAGCGAGCCGAGAAUCGGUGGUCAUCUCGUUAACGAUCCGCCGAAACCAACAAGUGCCGAUAACAAGCGCACUGACUUCGCCCUCGCUGCCUAAGCGAGGCACUUAAGAAGUCCGUCAGCCCGGGGGUGUUCCCGACCCGGAUCCUGGCGUCAACGAGGGAGCUAGCCGAAGUCCCCCGCUCACGGGGGGACCAGGGACACUAAUCAGUGAGGUAGGCCGUGUUCCCCGUUGUGCCACACGAUGCGGGGAGGCCGAACCACGCCAAGGUGGCUGCGCUCGGAGAAGACUUCAAACUGUGCCGAUGGACGCGGGUUCGAUUCCCGCCACCUCCACCA